UUCCGUAGGUGAACCUGCGGAAGGAUCAUUAAAAAAUUGGACUCCAUUGGUGAGUUCAUUAAUAAUCCCUACCCUUUGUGAAUUUGUUUGUUUGAAUAAUUUUUUUUCCAAAAAAAAAUUAUUGAAUGUCUUUCCCUGUUUUGGUGGAGCUUGUAAAGUGAAACCAGGCAGGGGAAUGGCAAACAAUAAUUAUUUUUGAAAAAAGACCUUUUUUUAAAUUAAACUUUUUGUAUCAUUUGUCUAAAAUUAUUUUUAUAAUAUAAAAACAACUUUUGACAAUGGAUCUCUUGGUUCUCGCAACGAUGAAGAACGCAGCAAAAUGCGAUAAGUAGUGUGAGUUGCAGAAUACGUGAAUCAUCGAAUCUUCGAACGCAUAUUGCACUUUUUUAGUUUACUAAAAAGUAUGUCUGUUUGAGUAUCAGUAAAAUAUUCUCAUAAAAAACAUUGUUUUUUAUGGUUAUGAGUGUUUUACAACGAUAACAAGUUGUUUCACUUUAAAUUCUUUGUAAUCAAAAAAAUCAUUAAAAGCUAAUUUUAAAGAUUUUUUAAAAUUGGAUAAAAUUUUCCCGUAAAAAGGAAUAACCUAAACAAUUUUAAAAAAUUAAAAUUGGUUUGAUUUUUUUUGAAACCCAAAGGAAAAAAAAACGAAAUUAACUUGAUCUCAAAUCAGAUAAGAGUACCCGCUGAACUUAAGCAUAUCAAUAAGCGGAGGAAAAGAAACUAACUAGGAUUCCCUCAGUAACGGCGAGUGAAGCGGGAAGAGCUCAAAUUUGAAAUCUUCAAGGUUUUACCUUGACGAAUUGUAGUUUAAAGAAGUGUUUUCUGUUGGAGUUUUGGUAAAAGUUCUUUGGAAAAGGACAUCAUAGAGGGUGAGAAUCCCGUAUUGACCAUUAUCUCCAGCUUUGUGAUACACUUUCAAAGAGUCGGAUUGUUUGGGAAUGCAGUCCAAAAUGGGUGGUAAAUUUCAUCUAAAGCUAAAUACUGGCGAGAGACCGAUAGCGAACAAGUACCGUGAGGGAAAGAUGAAAAGAACUUUGAAAAGAGAGUUAAACAGUACGUGAAAUUGUCAAAAGGGAAGCGUUUGACACCAGUGUUGUUUUCUCGAAAAUCAAUUAAAAAAGGCCGGAUUUUGUGUUGUAUUGACUUUAUCAGCUUUCUGCACUUUUUUCUUGUCUUUUUUAAUGCACUUUUCGUUUAACAAGUCAACAUCAAUUUCUUUUGUUGUAAAAGGGUCAUUGGAAGGUGGCUUUCUUUUCGGAGAAAGUGUUUAUAGCCUCUGGCCUCUGCAAUCGGAGAGAUUGAGGUCUGCAGCGUAGAUCCUUCGGGUUAGAUACAUUUGUGCUAAGUUAUAGCCUUUCAUAGACAACUUGUUGACUAUGAUCAGUCAUGUAGCUUACUCGCUUAUGCUAUUUUACCUACGCUUAGGAUGUUG
rnacentral:misc_RNA from 1 species